GCCCUAGUAGUAUAAAUAUUACUUUGGUCUUGUAAACCAAAAAUGAAGUAUCUCAAACCUUCUUAGAGCA
rnacentral:tRNA from 1 species